rnacentral:rRNA from 1 species
GAGUUUGAUCAUGGCUCAGAUUGAACGCUGGCGGCAGGCCUAACACAUGCAAGUCGAGCGGAUGACGGGAGCUUGCUCCUUGAUUCAGCGGCGGACGGGUGAGUAAUGCCUAGGAAUCUGCCUGGUAGUGGGGGACAACGUUUCGAAAGGAACGCUAAUACCGCAUACGUCCUACGGGAGAAAGCAGGGGACCUUCGGGCCUUGCGCUAUCAGAUGAGCCUAGGUCGGAUUAGCUAGUUGGUGGGGUAAUGGCUCACCAAGGCGACGAUCCGUAACUGGUCUGAGAGGAUGAUCAGUCACACUGGAACUGAGACACGGUCCAGACUCCUACGGGAGGCAGCAGUGGGGAAUAUUGGACAAUGGGCGAAAGCCUGAUCCAGCCAUGCCGCGUGUGUGAAGAAGGUCUUCGGAUUGUAAAGCACUUUAAGUUGGGAGGAAGGGCAGUAAGUUAAUACCUUGCUGUUUUGACGUUACCGACAGAAUAAGCACCGGCUAACUCUGUGCCAGCCG